rnacentral:ncRNA from 1 species
UUGACUGGGGUGGUACGUCUGUCAAACGGUAACGCAGGUGUCCCAAGGAGAGCUCAGCGUGGACGGAAAUCACACGUCAAGCAAAAAGGCAAAAGCUCGCUCGAUCUCGAUUGGGUAUGUGAGAGAAAGAGGGAGAUGAUGUACAACUUUGUUUGACCAUGUCUCUGACAGAAAUUCCUAUUGUCAACAUACUGAACACUAUCAUUUUAUUUUAUUUUUUGCUUUCUUUAAUACACACACACACACACACACA